GGCAGCGUAGCUCAGUGGUAGAGCAGGGGACUCAUAAGCCCUUGGUCGCAGGUUCAAAUCCCGCCGCUGCCAC
rnacentral:tRNA from 1 species